GCAUGCCUGAGUACUGUGUUUUUCUUAGCCGUAGUUUACACAGCCAAACAACAGGCAAAUGCCUGUGCUGGUAUGGGGAGUUCUUUCAUAGCUUAUCAUUUUCUAAAGUAGGUACAAAU
ensembl:snoRNA